GGUCUCAUAGUAUAGUGGUUUAGUACGUUUGGUUUUGAAAAAGAAUUUCUACCCGGAAAUGUCCAAAUAGCCCCGGUUCGAACCCGGGUGAGACCU